rnacentral:rRNA from 1 species
AUGUCCCAGAGUUCCUCGGCGGCGAGACGCACCCGGGCAGUUCCACCACCGCUGCCAUUGAUCAUGUGCCCAGCGUGCACGGGGACGAGGACCAGGUGGUUCGUGUCCGAGACGGACCGUAACCCAGGCAUCCGUUUCUACAAGUGCCCGAACCAGGCAGACGGAGGCCCUUGCGAUUUUUGGCUGUGGGAGGACCAGUACGCGUUCUACAUCAUCGGGGUUGGCAUCAACCUCCUCAUAGAGGCUGCCGGAGGCGGAAGCAACAUCAUGUUCGGGAUGGGCCGCGCCAUGGACGACAUAUGCAUCGCAGCUAGGAACACGAUGAUGAUAUGCAUGCUAAUGCUUUUCGUCAUGCUUUGGAAGGCGGCCGGCUGGC